CCUAGAGUUGUAGGCUUUGCCUGCUAUCUCUUACCCAUGUCUUUUGAGUACCUUCGUUUCCCUCGGCGGGUCCGCCCGCCGAUUGGACAAUUUAAACCAUUUGCAGUUGUAAUCAGCGUCUGAAAAAACUUAAUAGUUA
rnacentral:misc_RNA from 1 species